rnacentral:rRNA from 1 species
CUCCGGUUGAUCCUGCCGGACCCGACUGCUAUCAGAGUGGGACUAAGCCAUGCGAGUCAACAUAGCAAUAUGUGGCAUACGGCUCAGUAACACGUAGUCAACAUGCCCAGGGGACGUGGAUAACCUCGGGAAACUGAGGAUAAACCGCGAUAGGUCAUCACUUCUGGAAUGGGUAAUGACUUAAAUCUAUAUGGCCCCUGGAUUGGACUGCGGCCGAUCAGGCUGUUGGUGAGGUAAUGGCCCACCAAACCUGUAACCGGUACGGGCUCUGAGAGGAGGAGCCCGGAGAUGGGCACUGAGACAAGGGCCCAGGCCCUAUGGGGCGCAGCAGGCGCGAAACCUCUGCAAUAGGCGAAAGCUUGACAGGGUUACUCUGAGUGAUUUCCGUUAAGGAGAUCUUUUGGCACCUCUAAAAAUGGUGCAGAAUAAGGGGUGGGCAAGUCUGGUGUCAGCCGCCGCGGUAAUACCAGCACCCCGAGUGGUCGGGACGAUUAUUGGGCCUAAAGCAUCCGUAGCCGGUUCUGCAAGUCCCCCGUUAAAUCCAGCUGCUCAACAGAUGGGCCGCGGAGGAUACUACAGAGCUAGGAGGCAGGAGAGGCAAGCGGUACUCAGUGGGUAGGGGUAAAAUCCGUUGAUCCAUUGAAGACCACCAGUGGCGAAGGCGGCUUGCCAGAAUGCGCUCGACGGUGAGGGAUGAAAGCUGGGGGAGCAAACCGGAUUAGAUACCCGGGUAGUCCCAGCCGUAAACGAUGCAGACUCGGUGAUGGGUUGGCUUCGCGCUAACCCAGUGCCGCAGGGAAGCCGUUAAGUCUGCCGCCUGGGUAGUACGGUCGCAAGACUGAAACUUAAAGGAAUUGGCGGGGGAGCA